GGCAACUCAGAGUCUGAGCAACUUACUAUAGCUGGUCAAGCGGCAGAGCCUGGACUGAAAAGGGGAGUCUGAUGCUCCUCCCAUUGCACCAAGCUUCUUCCACGAAUGUCAAGUGCAGCUGGAUGAUGGCAUUCUUCUCAAACUCUAAUCAAGGUGGAGCCAGGGAACCUUGGAGAGAAGCUCAAAUGAAAUGGUGAACUACUGUUACCAACCCUCAGACUGUACUCAAAAUAGUUUUAAAGUUUCCCAGUGCAUGCAUGUGUGCUCAGUCACUCAGUUGUGUCCGACUCUUGCAACCCCAUGGAUUGUAGCCUACCAGGCUCCUCUGUCCAAGGAAUUACCCAUGCAAGAAUACAGGAGUGGGCUGCCAUUUCCUUCUCCAGGGGACCUUCCCGACCUAGAGAUUAAGCCUACAUCUCACGUGUCUCCUGCACUGACAGGCUGAAAGCAUAAAAAAAUUGGAUUAAAAUUAUGAAGCUACUCUGACAUGAUAUAUUAAAGAGCUCUGAAUGAUGCCCAGGGAUGGAGGAGAGAAGAAAAACACUUGAGGUUUCCCUGGUGGUCCGGACGGUAAAGAAUCUGCCUGCAAUUCAGGAGACCCGGGUUUGAUCCCUGGGUUGGGAAGAUCCCCUGGAAAAGGCAAUGGCUACCCACUCCAGUAUUCUUGCCUGGAGAAUUCCAUGGACAGAGGAGCCUGGGGGCUAUAGGCCACGGAGUCACAAAGAGUCACGACAUGACAUGGGGACACGACUGAGCAACUAACACCUUCAAACCUAUGAAAAAAAUCUCACUAGACUGAAUGUAUGGAAAAGGAAUGGGGAGAACACCACUGAGAAGUAUGGAUUAUUUUAAGUGAAAUGCAAUUUUAUUGCAUUCAAGUACAUUUGGCAAGAAGAAGUAGGCUGAAUGCUUGCCUAUGCAUGCUUUGAUGAAUGAAUAAGAAGGCAGUAUAAUUUCCUCAUAAUUCUGUGCUUUUGAUAUUUUUGAAAAAGUUAUGGUAGAACACAAAAUUUUCUCACAGCUAAAACAAAAAAUGAAAACCAUUGGAAAUGUAGUGCUAUUUGUCAGAAAAGAGAAAUACACAAUUUUCUCAACAGGUAUAGCAUUUUUACUGACAUCAAAAUGAAGGUAAAGCUAUUGCUCUUUAUAUACUCAGUGGCCCAAGCUAGUUAAUUAAUUAUCUUUUUUUAUUGAGCGCCUAUGACAUGAUCAGGUACUGUGCUAGGUACUGAGGUUUAUAGACAAAUAAGACAAUGUCUCUGUACUCAAGGAGCUAACAGCUAACACAUAGAAGAUAGUGCAUAAAGAUUUUAUAAAAGUGCAAUUUUAUUCAAAUGGUUGUAUUUUCCUUGUAUAUAUGGGGACACAAUAUUAAAGCUUAAUUAAUGCAUAUUAUUCCUUGUAUAUUUGAGACAGUACUUUCAGGACCACACUUUUAAUCCAGAGCAUAGAGAACUGAGAGCAACAAAAGCUUAACAUAUCUACUCUACUGUCUUUCUCAAGUAUAAAAUACAUGGAAUGAGACUUUGGCCAAUUUUAAUAUUCUUAUGAAACUUUUAAGAGUAUAGUUGGAAUUUGGGCUUUUUCCCCCAAGCCAUGUGGCCAGUCACCAUCUGCUCUUCCUGGAAAUCCAGGGAACUAUUAGAAAGGGUCGAUACUUCCUCCAAUAAGAUCCCUGAAUCUGUUUGAAUCAUUCUGUGUGCACUUAGUUGGUGCUGUUGCCUCAUCUCCCCAAGUUGGAUUCCCAUUUUUUGACUGAACUCCCAAAGCUGGAAAUGGCUGUAUUGAGAAUAAAGUGACUUUGGGACCCAAACAUUUAAUCAGACUGGAAAUAACCACCAUAAUAAAAUCAGUGGUGCCUGAUACCGAGGAGCUUACUAGAAGUCUUUUAGUUAAGGCUAAAAGAUCUAACUUAUGAGUUGUGGUCAACUUGCAUUAGUUUUGACAUUGUGCUUGACACAAAUGGAUGUUGCUUCACACCCUGGCCCUGGUACAUGGAGGGUAAGGAAAAGGAAAAAGGAAAACCACUCCAGAUUGGUAGGUGGUAGUUUUAAUAAGCAAGGGAACUUACACUUGAGGCUUUUCUUGGGCCACAAGGUGAGAAGAUCUCUGCAUCUGCCUGCUAGAAUCUUAAAAAUUUAUAUGGAGGCCUUAAUUGAGCUAUAUCACAAAUACCAUCCAGCUGGUCUCAACAACGCAUUAUUCUCUCAAGGCUGUGUCCUCAAAAAUAAUUCCCAUUGUGUGAACUGUGGGCAGAACUUAACUUGCAUUUUGAGGGCAGGCCAGGGGAGGUGGGGGAGGAGCCUUUGUGAAUGUCCAGCCAGGCGAUCAACCAGUGGUCACAUCCACUCAGUGACUUAAUCUGACAAUGAAAACAGCCAACACUUAUGUAUUUUUAAAAAUUUCCCUCCAUUCUUUAAAGUGUCAGUUUGAUGACUUUGGACAUUUGUGAUACCAUCACUAUAAUCAAGGUCUUAGACAUAUUCAACACCUCAAAGUUUUCUUGUGUCCGUUUGUUCUUGUUUUUGUAUUAAGAACAUUUAACAUGAAAUCUACCUGCUUGAUAAUUUUUGAAGGGCACAAUACUGUAUUUUAAUUAUAGGCACCAUUUUGUAUAGCAGAUCUCUAGAACUUAAACAUCUUACCUACCUGAAACUUUAUAUCCAUUACACAAGAAUGCCCAUUUUCCUCGCCCUCCAGCUCAUGGCAAUCACUACUGUAUUUGUUUCUAUGAGUUUGAAUAUUUUAGAUAGAUACUUUAUAUAAGCAGAAUCAUGUAGUAUUUGUCCUUCUGUGACUGACUUAUUUCACUUAGCAUAAUGUCCUCCAGGUUCAUCCAUGGUGUUGAAAAUGGCAGGAUUUCAUAUUUUUUUAAGGCAGAAUAAUAUUCCACCAUGUGCAUAUGCUAUAUUUUCUUUAUCUAUUGACCCAUAUGCUUGGAUUAUUUUCAUAUCUUGACUGUUGUAAAUAAAGUUGUAAUAAAGAGGAGUGCAAAUAUCUCUUUGAGAACCAGAUUUCAAAUCAUUUGGGUAUAUACCCAGAAAUAGGCUGACUGGAUCAGAUGGUAGUUCUAUUUUUAGUUUUUUGAGGAAUCUCCAUUCUGUUUCCUUGGUAGCUGCACCAUUUUAAUUUCCCACCAACAGUGUACAAGGGUUCACAUUUUCCACAUUCUUUUCAACACUUGUUUUUUAUUAUUUUUUGAUAACAGCCACUCAAAGGUGUUAGGUGAUCACAGUCUCAUUGUGAUCUGGGUUUGCAUUUCCUGAUAAUUAAUGACGUUGAGCAACUUUUCUUACACUGGUUGACAAUGAAAGCAGACAACACUUACGUAUUCAUUUAAACUUUUAUACUCAUAUGUCUUUUUUGGAGAAAUGUCUGUUUCUCUGCCGGUCUUUAAAUUGGGUUUUUCUGGUUUGUUGUUGUUGUUGUUGUUGUUCUUUUUGC